CGACGCGCGCACUCUUGUCUGCUUAUGAGGGCUCCUCCCUUCAGCUUUGGUCCCUCGGGGCGUCUGGGCAGCCUACGCUUUCCGACUGGAAUCAGCCAUUUUACCAAGAAAGUUGGGUUUCUUUUACUGGCAAAUAGUACUUCAAGAGCACAGUCUUAUGUAAGAAGUACGGUCUAUAUAAAGACUGUCCAGGACAAAAACUGGCCACUCCAUUCAGCAUUGACAGCAGUAUUUAAAGCUGGUGCAUGGUAAGGUGAAGAAGUUUCUCAAGGGCAAAGACAAUGCCUUCAUGCAUGUUCAGUGUCUGCCCCCGUGGGCUUUGAAAUGAUCGCUGACAAUGGGGGAUCUGCAGUGACUUCUCUGCCUCUGCCAAAGCCCAGGGGUGCUGCUCCCUAAUUAUAAGGAUUCUAAUGAGACUCAGAGCAGGUGUAACACAGGGCAUGGAGCUUCCUGAGCAAGAGGCUGGCUAACAAACUGUGGACGUGGUACUUAGACACAUUAAGAGACAUUACAGGGACACCAGCAAGUAUGUCUCCCUGGGGAGAAGCCAAGUGCAGAUGCUACGGCCACAGAUGAUAUGGUUUGGCUCUGUGUCCCCACUCAAAUCUCAUCUCAAGUUGUAAUCCCUGGAUGUCGAGGGAGGGACCUGGUGGGAGGUGAUUGGAUUGGUUCGCAUGAUAGUGAGGGAGUUCUCACGAGAUCUGGUUGUUUGAUAAGUGUCUGGCAUUUCUCCUGUGCUGUCUCUCCUGCCACCUUGUGAAGAAGGUGCCUGCUUCUCCUUCGCCUUCCGCCAUGAUUGUAAGUAAGUUUCCUGAGGCCUCCCUAGCAAUGCAGAACUGUGAGUCAAUU
rnacentral:lncRNA from 1 species